GACGAACGCUGGCGGCGUGCUUAACGCAUGCAAGUCGAACGAUGAAGCCUAGCUUGCUAGGUGGAUUAGUGGCGAACGGGUGAGUAAUACGUGAGUAACCUACCUUUAACUCUGGGAUAAGCCUGGGAAACUGGGUCUAAUACCGGAUACGACCAAUCUCCGCAUGGGGUGUUGGUGGAAAGCGUUAUGUAGUGGUUAUAGAUGGGCUCACGGCCUAUCAGCUUGUUGGUGAGGUAACGGCUCACCAAGGCGACGACGGGUAGCCGGCCUGAGAGGGUGACCGGCCACACUGGGACUGAGACACGGCCCAGACUCCUACGGGAGGCAGCAGUGGGGAAUAUUGCACAAUGGGCGCAAGCCUGAUGCAGCGACGCCGCGUGAGGGAUGACGGCCUUCGGGUUGUAAACCUCUGUUAGCAGGGAAGAAGAGAAAUUGACGGUACCUGCAGAGAAAGCGCCGGCUAACUACGUG
rnacentral:rRNA from 1 species